UACGGGGGGAGCAAGCGUUGUUCGGAUUUACUGGGCGUAAAGGGCGCGUAGGCGGCGCGACAAGUCACUUGUGAAAUCUCCGGGCUUAACCCGGAGCGGCCAAGUGAUACUGUAGUGCUAGAGUGCGGAAGGGGCUACUGGAAUUCUCGGUGUAGCGGUGAAAUGCGUAGAUAUCGAGAGGAACACCUGCGGCGAAGGCGGGUUGCUGGGCCGACACUGACGCUGAUGCGCGAAAGCCAGGGGAGCGAACGGG
rnacentral:rRNA from 1 species